rnacentral:piRNA from 1 species
UGGUACCAGCUUGACAUCUCACAUCUACCAU